rnacentral:rRNA from 1 species
AUACGGAGGGGGCAAGCGUUGUUCGGAAUUACUGGGCGUAAAGCGCGCGUAGGCGGCGCAUCGAGUUAGGCGUGAAAGGCCUGGGCUUAACCUGGGAACUGCGCUUAAUACUGGUGUGCUUGAGUCCGGAAGGGGGUGGCGGAAUUCCCAGUGUAGAGGUGAAAUUCGUAGAUAUUGGGAAGAACACCGGUGGCGAAGGCGGCCACCUGGUCCGGGACUGACGCUGAGGUGCGAAAGCGUGGGGAGCAAACAGGAUUAGACCCCCUGGUAGUCCACGCCGUAAACGAUGUGUGCUAGGUGUUGGCAGGCGAGCCUGUCGGUGCCGGAGUUAACGCGUUAAGCACACCGCCUGGGGAGUACGGCCGCAAGGUUAAA